GAGCGCGGCGGAGGCGGAGGCGGAGACGCGGCGAGGGGGGCCGAGCGCUACCCCGUGGCCGCGACUGGAGAGCAGCCUGCGCGCGGGGAGGGGGAGCGGCGGCGGCGGCCCCGAGCCAGGCCCGGGAGCGAGCCCCGCGGAAACGCGAGCCGUUUGCGCGGCCGCGGGCGCCCAGCGUCUCCGGGACCCGCCGGAGGGCAGCAGUGGAAACCUGGAACCUUAGCCAGGCGGGAUGCGCUCAGAGCCCCUGGGGUCUCUUCCAGCCUCGAACCGGUACCCCCAUCUCAGAGAUCUCAUUCGACCUCUCUUCCCAGCUGGGAACCCUAACACCCUUCCCGGACGUUGAGUAACACGGGUGGACGGAGAGCCGGGAACGGGGGUUCGGUCAACUGGUUGAUUAGAGUUUCCCCUUCCCAGGUCAGGCUUUCAAAAGUCUGAAACCGCUCAGAACAGAGAGCAAGACGAAAGAGAGGCAGGGGACUUACAGAUGGCCCAGAAAGUGAAGUUGGUGCCAAGGCACAUGCAUCCUUUGUUUCUUCUUUAAAAAAAAAAAAUUAUUAUUAUUUUUUUUUCCUUUUGAGCUUUCUUGCAAAGAGUAGAAGAACGGUAAAUUAGAGAAGAAGCUAUAACAAGGAAGCUCGGAGGUUUCCUUUGUGAGGGACCAGAGAAGUCAGCUGAACUCAGGAACUGAGCCCAGCAUUCCUGAGGCAGACGCCCAGCACGGGAUUCCAGGACUCGGUUACACAGUCCUGGGUACUAGACAGCCUUGCUUCCAGAGACCCCUACCUCCAUGAAAACACCCAUCUGUGUAUGUUGAAAAUAAUAUUUAUGACUGUUUUGGCACAGAGACGAAUAUAUUAAUAUUACAUAUUGAAACCAUUGUCUUCAACCUGAAAGUUCAUUGGUUUCUCCUGAUUUUAAAAGAAAGGAAAACAUUUCCCUGUCGUGUUGCUGGUGCUGCACCGGCGGAGCCGCGUGGCAUCUCCCUGUCCCCUUGGUGUUUCUGCUGAGAGCAAAGAGCUGCAGAGAUGCCACCUGCGGGCACCGCGCUUUUGUCCUCUCUCUCCCUGGCGGCCCUUUCCACCCCAGAGGGCAUCCUUUCUGUUUGCUGUGGAGCAGACACAGCCCUGCCAAGCUUUCAUCACUUUUAUAUUCCCAUCUCACUUACCUCGGAAAAAGAACCCUGGGCCUCCUCUGACAGCGGCUGAGAAGCCAGCCUGCUUUACCCACGUGCUUCCAUUGCCUAAUCAAACACUAUUUCAUGACUUUCCGCCCCCCAUGGAACCUGUGCUUCAUCCCAGGCUGAAGUCCUUCUGACUGGCUGACGAGUAAAGGGGGGGGGAAGCUUCGAGGGCCAGGUGGCCCAGGUGUGGCCAGCCCGCCUUUGUCUUACUGGCCACGUCAUUGCUGGCUGCUUGGGGAUGACCAGCUGGGGCCUCGCACACACCUGCCUGCUCUCACCGCCCCGUCCUGGGGCUCAGGCCCUUCCCAGACCUCCAGAACAGCUGUCCACAUGAUGCUGUUACACUUUCUGCUCACAGAGGGGGCCUGAGAGCCGGAUUUGCAGAAACCUCUGCUUCUCAGCCAGCAAAGGACCAGCAGAAAGGCUGUUCUCCGUUCUCUAAGAGUGGGUGCUCCCAUCCACCCGAACAGCCACCUUCCUCGUGUCCAGUCCCAGACUUCAGCUGCCAGGAGUCUGAACCAGAUGCUACUAGGAGCUCUGAACAGCGUUUAUUUCUUUGUCAAAAGAGACAUGGUUGCACAACUGUGUGUAGCCCCAUGCACCUUCUUCUGGGAUUUUAAUCCCCACAGGCCAGGGCCGGGCCUGAACCGGUGGCGGCUGGUGGUGGAGGAGGUGUCCUUCUGUGUCGGAAGCCUCCAGGCGUGCCUGCUUGUUAGAGAGCGAAGAGGACGGUACCCUUGCAGCAAACCUUUGUGUCCGUCCAUCUGAGGCUGUCUCCCGCCUCUGCCUGUACGCACACAGACAGGAGGGAACUGAUUUUGCUUCUGAGUUUCCCUGGCCCAGGAGGAGGCUGAGCAGGGAGCCUGCUGCGGUGAGAAGGGCUAGUUACAGAGAAAGUCACUUGCAGACACCAUGACCUCAUUCUUGCCAGCAGCGGUGUAAUUAGAGGUUGCAAGCGGCGCAGUUACAGUGGGGACCCCAUCAGGAGGGGCUGUGUGGCUGUCCCAGGCUCUCCACUGCCUCCCUGGCCCCUUUUGAGUCUGUGGGUAUAGCUCUCCCGGAAAGCUCGGUGGCACAGGAUCUGGGGCUUUCCCCUCAUUUAUAUCCCACCUCCCUACAUCCCCAGAUCAUGCAGGCCCACAGAAGGCUCUUUCUUGGCGACGCUCUCCCCAUCCAUUCCAGUCUGUAAAUUCGAGGUGGCGGGUGGGCACAGCCAUUGAGUUGAGCACAAUUCAUUUCAAACGAGAAGGAAAGGCUGGGGUCACCCCGCUGCCCCCGCCCCCUCUCCCAUUCCAGGUGGAUGCCGUGUGUUUAAAACGUCAUCCUUCUUGUAGAAAAACCUUUGCAAGGGCCCCAAACAGGACCACGCUUUCUCCCAUCCCACACAUCCCAGCCCGUGCAAGAGCAUUACUGCAGAACUUGGCCAAGGAGCCUUCGGUGUGGGAGGUAAAUUACACCGUGUGCCAGCCAAGAGCGGGGAGACCAAGCCCAGGACGGUCAGAUGGAGCUGUUCAAUCUCACAGAAGGCUAAGAUCCUCCCCAUCACCCCUCAACCUCCAGCCUGUCUUCCGCCUCAUCGUACACACAGAAACCAAAGGGGCCAGGCAAAUCCUCCACCCGCAGGGACCAGGCGGGAGGCAGUGAUCCUGCAGAGGACGGAGAAAGCGAUGGAGUCAAGUUGAUCAAGAGGUUUAUUAGUCUCCAUCGGAAAAGAGGGAUGCUCUGGGGUCCUGUCUCAGGCAGCUGGGGCUUCCCUGACCAAAUGCCACAGGCUGCGGGCUGGGAAGUCCAAGGUCAAGGGGCUGGUGUAGUCAACUCUUGGGGAAGGCUCUCCCUCUGGCUUGUAGACGGCCACUUUCUUGCUGUGUCCUCAUGUGGGAGAGAGAGGGGGCCGAGGAGGGGGAGGCUGGAGGAAGGGAAAGAGCUCUGGGCUCACGUCCUCUUUUUUUAAACAGUAUUUGUGAUUUAUUUUUGGCUGUGUUAGGCCUUAGCUGAGGCCUGUGGGCUCAGUAGCUGCUGCGCACAGGCUUAGUAGCUCUGAGACACAUGGGAUCCUGGCUUCCCAACUUGGGAUCGAACCUGAAUCCUCUGCACUGGAAGACAGAUUCUUAACCACUGGGCCCUCAGGGAAGUCCCCCACUUCCUCUUUUUAUAAGGACACCAAUCCCACCUUUGGUGUCCCAUCCAUGUGUGCCCAUCUAAACCCAAUUAUUCAUGUCUCCAAGAGACCCCAUUUUUAAAUAUUGUCACAUUUGUGAAGGUUGAAAGCUGGGGGAGAAGACAGUUUACACCGCUACAGUCCCCUAACCCAAGAUCCACCCCAUCCUCAAUUACGUGCUGUAACUUACUGUCACUCCCUUAGGAGAAAGGGCCUAAGAAAACAACACAUGUUCAUGGCUGGGCUGGGGCAGCCUGCUUCUCUGGCUUUCCUGUGCCAAGGCCAGAACCACCGUGAGGGUAGCUACCCAUCUCCCAAACCCAGGAUCUGACUGGCUGUGAAAAUACCUAAAUGGUCUGGGGUUUCCUCUUCCAUGCCCUCCAGGAGGAGGGAAAGAGACACAGAGAGAUGGAGGAGAAACCCAGCAACACCAGUGCAGAAAUGAGAUGCACGUGGCCUGCUGGUCCGGAGCCAGGUGCAAGCCAGAGAGACGGAGGUUAACAGACCACAGGAGACAGCGUUUUUAAACAAUAAAACUGCUAAAUGUAGGCUAGGCUGGGGAAGGAAGUGAACGCAUGAGGAAGCACAGGCAUCUGCUGUAUCUAGGCCAUUUUCAGUCACUCUGAGCCCCCAGCUCAGCAUGUUGGGAGGUGCAGUCAGGUAUAGUGGAGAAGCAGUGCUCACACUGGACAGGAGAGGGCGCUAUAAACACAUACUGCUGGCAGGCCCAGGAAGGAGGAAGUGGGUUGGGGUCAAGUGUGCACUUUGUGGUCGUUUCAGGAACAAAACCAGCAUAUAUUGUACUCAAGAAUGUCCUUAACGUGUCUACAAUGCAAUGUAGAGCACCACAGAGAUGCCUGCCUCUGGGUGGCCGGGACAUUGAUCUUUAAAUUAGACAAGGAUUUAGAAUCGUUUAAGGCCAUUCAAAAUCACAGAGCAAUGAACUCGAACUUGAGCGGGGUUUAUUUCAUCUGCUUAGUACGAGAGGAAACUGUGACUCUGCCUUUCAGAGCCAUCAAAGGCGAGCUCUCCCAACUUAAAGGGUGAGUGCCUUUGAUUGGGCACCGUCGACGUCAGGAACACUCCCCUCUUGACUGUUUCGAAGCCACGCUGCACAGGGCAUGGCUGCCUUAAAGCUGGGGCCUGCCCAUCCCUGAGCCUGAAACGCCCUUCCUCCAAAUGUGCGCAGGGCUCACCCUCCGCCUUCACGGUGUCUCUGUUUAAAUGGUACCCAGCCAGUCAACCACUUUGAAAAAGGAACCCAGCCGAAGGGUGAUGCUCAAAAGCAGUCCCUACUGGUGAGGGGGAGAUACUCACUGGUCAGCACAGUCGCUGGCAGGGCGACAUGACCAGCACAUGUGCCCUGCACACACAUGCAUGUGUACACACGUGUGCACACACACACACACCCUAUGCUUCCUCUGACUUUCUUUCAUUUAGCACUUUUAUCACCAUGUGACCAUUUGAUAUGGGCUUCCCAGGUAUCUUAGCGGUGAAGAAUCUGCCUGCCAAUCAGGAGACUCAGGUUCGAUCACUGGGGUCAGGAAGAUCUCUUGGAGAAGGAAAUGUCCACCCAUCCCAGUAUUCUUGCCUGAGAAAUCCCAAGGACAGAGAAGCCUGGAGGGCUACAGUCCCUGCGGUUGCAAAGGAGUCUAACACGGGUAGCGAGACAAUAACAACCACCAUCCGAUAUGCCUUAGAUUCUAAAUAGUUGUUAGUAUCUUUAUUGCCCAUCUUUCCCCACUGGAAUAUAAGCAUCUUAAAGGCAGGGAUUUUCACCAGUUUUGCUCUGUGUAUGUCAAAGAACCACAGUCAGACCCAGCGAUGAUAUAUAUUCAAGGAAAUCAAAACCACAGGAAAAUGUGUAUGAAGUGUGAACAGCUUUUCAAUUUCAUUACUGUGUCUUUCCUUCACUGACCUUGCAAAUUGGGCUAUUUACACCUCACGUGUGUAUUUUCCCAUAUUUACAGCAAACAUUCCUACUGCCUGAAAAUU